GAAAUUCCCUCCUUCAAUUGAAGACCUCCAGGACUACCAGCGGUACCAUGAGGGCAGCUGCCCCCCUUCCAAGCAGCUGGAAAAUGCACAGUCCAAAGUGUCGAGGGUCAGGUCUUUUAUAUUUUACCUGGCUAAGGGACAUACUGUAUUGUUCAGUUUGCUAUUUUAAGGAACAUUGAUGGCAUCCAAAAAUACACAGCCCACCUCCAGUCCCCAGGCAAGACCAUCACAACGGCACAUUUCUACCUGAGAACCAUACAGCAGUUCCUCAAAUACUUUCGGGAAACCCUGCC